rnacentral:rRNA from 1 species
GAUGAACGCUGGCGGCGUGCCUAAUACAUGCAAGUCGAGCGAACAGACGAGGAGCUUGCUCCUCUGACGUUAGCGGCGGACGGGUGAGUAACACGUGGAUAACCUACCUAUAAGACUGGGAUAACUUCGGGAAACCGGAGCUAAUACCGGAUAAUAUAUUGAACCGCAUGGUUCAAUAGUGAAAGACGGUUUUGCUGUCACUUAUAGAUGGAUCCGCGCCGCAUUAGCUAGUUGGUAAGGUAACGGCUUACCAAGGCAACGAUGCGUAGCCGACCUGAGAGGGGGGUCGGCCCAACCGGAACCGAGAACCGGUCCCAACCCCUAAGGGAGGCAGGAGGAGGGAAACUGCCGGAAAUGGCGAAAGGCUGACGGAGGAACCGCGCGGGAGGUAAGAAGGGCUUCGGAACGUAAAAACCUUUUAUUAGGAAAAAAAAAAAUGUAAAUAAAUAUACCCGUCUUUGGAGGGCCCAAACAAAAAAACCCCGGUAAACACCCG